rnacentral:misc_RNA from 1 species
GCUUACUUUAUAUAGUCCCUGGUGCAACUUUUCCAGUGUAUGCUUGAUUUUGAAUUGUCUUGUUUGAUUAGUUUAAUUAACUUUAUUCUAUUAUCAAACUCAUUGUUGUAUGUAAAUGUACCUUCUCUGUUUUGUGCCAUAUUAUAUUUAAUACUUGCUUCUUUUUUUCUGUCGUGUUCUAUUCAUUCAAUUGUUUGCACCCCUCGUUAAGUCUAAUGUAGAUUCCUUGUUUUAUACAUGUACUUCAUGUUGCAUUUAAGCCAUUUUUUUUUAAUAGAAUGGUAAAGAAUGUAAAAUUUCAAACACUGAAUUUUAUUGUUAUUUUUUACUUCACAUAUGUCAGAAAUUUAAAUUCUGCAAGAGGUGCUCCUUGCUAUAUUGAAUUCUUGUGUUUAAUUAGAAAUCUACAGAACUACUUGUGUUGUCUUGUGUUAUGAACAAAAGGAAAAAGCUAGCAGUACUAUGUCCUCCCAUUGAGGUCUUAUCUCAAUGUCAUAGAAACUUGAAAACCCCAAACUUUGUAAGGCUGGAAAUAUUUUAGAAAUAAACUCUUACUGGGUUUUGGAAUAUACCGUACUUUGAAUGGUAGCUAUGGAUGAAGAGUUGUCACACACAAGUACUUGUAUAAAUACUGAUGUUGUCCUAUGCAUAGUGAACUUUAGAUAUUAAGAUUUAAUAUCAUGAGUGCGGUAUUCAUUGAAUGUGUAACAGGAAUGAUUUAAUGCAUGUCUGUGUUUUAUUGUUCAACAGAAAUUGUGACAAUAUAUAUGAACUGUUAUCAUGUGACAUCUUUUGUUUUAUUUACUGCAAAGUUAACAUAAUCAUUGGUAAAUAUUAUAUAAAAUAACUUCUAUUUAAUGCAAAUUGCAUUUAUAAUUCAUUCAGUAAUUAAAAAUUGCUUUCCUU